rnacentral:rRNA from 1 species
UGGGGAAUAUUGGACAAUGGGGGAAACCCUGAUCCAGCAAUGCCGCGUGGGUGAAGACGGCCUGCGGGUUGUAAAGCCCUUUAGGCGGGGAGGAACGACGGGGUGCGAACAGUGCCUCGAAGAGACGUUACCCGCAGAAUAAGCACCGGCUAACUCCGUGCCAGCAGCCGCGGUAAUACGGAGGGUGCGAGCGUUAAUCGGAAUUACUGGGCGUAAAGCGUGCGUAGGCGGAUGGGUCAGUCAGCCGUGAAAGCCCCGGGCUUAACCUGGGAACGGCGGUUGAGACGGCCCGUCUUGAGUGGGCUAGAGGAUCGUGGAACUCCCGGUGUAGCGGUGAAAUGCGUAGAGAUCGGGAAGAACACCGAUGGCGAAGGCAGCGAUCUGGGGCCACACUGACGCUGAGGCACGACGGCGUGGGGAGCAAACA